rnacentral:rRNA from 1 species
AUUGAACGCUGGCGGCAGGCUUAACACAUGCAAGUCGAGCGGGGUGAUGGUGCUUGCACUAUCACUUAGCGGCGGACGGGUGAGUAAUGCUUAGGAAUCUGCCUAUUAGUGGGGGACAACAUUUCGAAAGGAAUGCUAAUACCGCAUACGUCCUACGGGAGAAAGCAGGGGAUCUUCGGACCUUGCGCUAAUAGAUGAGCCUAAGUCGGAUUAGCUAGUUGGUGGGGUAAAGGCCUACCAAGGCGACGAUCUGUAGCGGGUCUGAGAGGAUGAUCCGCCACACUGGGACUGAGACACGGCCCAGACUCCUACGGGAGGAAGCAGCGGGGAAUAUUGGACAAUGGGCGGAAGCCUGAUCCAGCCAUGCCGCGUGUGUGAAGAAGGCCUUAUGGUUGUAAAGCACUUUAAGCGAGGAGGAGGCUACUUUAGUUAAUACCUAGAGAUAGUGGACGUUACUCGCAGAAUAAGCACCGGCUAACUCUGUGCCAGCCGCCGCAGUAAGAC